rnacentral:rRNA from 1 species
GUACACGCUGUGACUAGCAUAUCAAUAAGCGGAGGAAAAGAAACUAACAAGGAUUCCCCUAGUAACGGCGAGUGAAGCGGGAAGAGCUCAAAUUUGAAAUCUUAAAGGGUUUCCCUUUACGAAUUGUAGUUUAAAGAAGUGUUUUCUGUUGAGGUUUUGGUAAAAGUUCUUUGGAAUAGGACAUCAUAGAGGGUGAGAAUCCCGUAUUUGACCUUUACUUUCAACUUUGUGAUACACUUUCAAAGAGUCGGAUUGUUUGGGAAUGCAGUCCAAAAUGGGUGGUAAAUUUCAUCUAAAGCUAAAUAUUGGCGAGAGACCGAUAGCGAACAAGUACCGUGAGGGAAAGAUGAAAAGAACUUUGAAAAGAGAGUUAAACAGUACGUGAAAUUGUCAAAAGGGAAGCGUUUGACACCAGUGUUGUUUUUCUGAAAAUCAAUUAAAGAACUGUUUAUGCUAAGUUGUUUAGACUUUAUCAGCUAUCUGUUUAGUUUUGAGCUUUUCUUUAAUGCACUUUUCAGUUAACAAGUCAACAUCAGUUUCUUUUGCUGUAAAAAAGCUUGAGGAGGGUGGCUUGAGAUUCGUCUUAAGUGUUUAUAGCCUCUUGCCUAUGCAGUCGGAGAGAUUGAGGUCUGCAGCGUAGAUCCUUCGGGGCUAAAUGCAUUUGUGCUAAGUUAUAGCAUUUUAUAGACAACUUGUUGACUAUGAUUUGUCUUGCUAGCUUACUCGCUUAUGUUAUUUUACCUACGCUUAGGAUGUUGAAGAUGUAGCACAUCAU